rnacentral:tRNA from 1 species
GCUGGGAUGCCCGAGUGGUCUAAGGGGCCAGACUCAAGUUAGCAAGCUUCACCGAAAGACGAGUGAGAAUUCUGGUAGUCAUUGACUGCGUGGGUUCGAACCCCACUCUCAGUA